AAAGAAAGAAAAAUAAAUGCAAAUGACAUGAGCAGAGGUAGCAUUAGCCUAGCUGAACUAUUUUCUCCGCUUCAUCAUUUUG
rnacentral:sRNA from 14 species